rnacentral:rRNA from 1 species
GACGAACGCUGGCGGCGUGCUUUACACAUGCAAGUCGAACGGUGAAGGUGGAGCUUGCUCCGCCGGAUCAGUGGCGAACGGGUGAGUAACACGUGGGCAACCUGCCCCUAACUUUGGGAUUACUACUCGGAAGAGUAGCUAAUACCGGAUACGAAGUCUGUAGGCAUCUACGGAUUUGGAAAGUUUUUCGGUUAGGGAUGGGCACGCGGCCUAUCAGCUUGUUGGUGAGGUAGUGGCUCACCAAGGCGACGACGGGUAGCCGGCAUGAGAGGGCGACCGGCCACACUGGGACUGAGACACGGCCCAGACUCCUACGGGAGGUAGCAGUAGGGAAUCUUCCGCAAUGGACGAAAGUCUGACGGAGCAACGCCGCGUGAGUGAUGAAGGCUUUCGGGUCGUAAAACUCUGUUGUUAGGGAAGAACAAGUGCUAGUUGAAUAAGCUGGCACCUUGACGGUACCUAACCAGAAAGCCACGGCUAACUACGUGCCAGCCGCCGCGGUAA